rnacentral:rRNA from 1 species
GCUUAACACAUGCAAGUCGAACGGUAACAGGCCUUCGGGCGCUGACGAGUGGCGGACGGGUGAGUAACGCGUAGGAAUCUGCCUUAUAGUGGGGGACAACGUGGGGAAACCCACGCUAAUACCGCAUACGCCCUACGGGGGAAAGGAGGGGAUCUUCGGACCUUUCGCUAUGAGAUGAGCCUGCGUUAGAUUAUCUAGUUGGUAGGGUAAAGGCCUACCAAGGCGACCAUCUAUAGCUGGUCUGAUAGGACGAUCAGCCUCACUGGGACUGAGACACGGCCCAGACUCCUACGGGAGGCAGCAGUGGGGAAUAUUGGACAAUGGGCGAAAGCCUGAUCCAGCAAUACCGCGUGUGUGAAGAAGGCCUUAGGGUUGUAAAGCACUUUCAAUUGGGAGGAAAACCUGCCGGUCAAUACCCGGUAGCUUGACAUUACCUUUAGAAGAAGCACCGGCUAACUCCGUGCCAGCAGCCGCGGUAAUACGGAGGGUGCGAGCGUUAAUCGGAAUUACUGGGCGUAGAGCGUGCGUAGGUGGUUCGUUAAGUCAGAUGUGAAAGCCCUGGGCUCAACCUGGGAACUGCAUUUGAAACUGGCGGACUAGAGUUUAGUAGAGGGGAGUGGAAUUUCAGGUGUAGCGGUGAAUGCGUAGAUAUCUGAAGGACCACCAGUGGCGAAAGCGACUCCCUGGACUAAAACUGACGCUGAGGUACGAACGCGUGG